UAUGCAUGUUUUAAAUAACUACAAAAGUUCAAAAUGUAAAACUAUGCUGUAAAAAUUUAUGAAUAUUAAUGUUUAAUUAUGUUAAAAUUUCAUGAAUAGUUAAUGUUUAAUUAUGUUAAAAGUUACAGCACUUUUGCUAGAGUAGGUGAACUAAUUCUUCAUUGUGUAUUUGAUCGUGUGGUAUAUACCUCCAUUCCCUUGAAGAUUUGCUCUUGUAACUGAUUACUCUUGUUUCAGAAUACCAGUGGCUACUGUCAGACAGGUUCCAGUCCCUCCAAGAAAUGGACUUGGGUACAAACUACAGCUUCAGGGACUACUUCGUGGAAACUAUUCAUCAGAUAUGCAAUGGUCAGCUGAAUGUGACUUAUUCAGGUGCAAGAUAAACCUGCUUCAGUGUAGGUACUCAUCUAGGUAAUGAAGAAUGCCAUAAUGCAACAAUAUAGGUAUUGGUGGCAACGGGGUUCAGCCACUCGGGUGAGAGAGGAGGCAACGGCCGACCUACCUUCACCCAAGAACGCCUAGACGCAUUCAGCUUUCUUCCCUGGUGCCUUGCUAGGACAGGAUGCUGCCAUUCCUUCCAGAAGCCAGUGUUUUCCUGCCCAUUUUUCUUCUCUGGUUUGCCUUUUGUGUUGUGAAAUCGUGCUGUGUGAUUGUGCAUUAGUGUGUUUUUGUGUCGCAUUUACUCAUUCAAACCCAUGAGAUACCCUUACUUGCAUCCAUGAGUCCCUGCUGCUCCAGGUUUUCUAACCUUAACUGCCUAAAUGGGAUUGUGAUAGAGCUCAAUGACAGCUUCAAACCAAUACUAAUUGGUCUUCAUUUACUCAUAGCAUUUUGAUUCAAUUCAACUCUUUCUUAUGUCAGUGUAAAAACCUGAUAUACCAGUAUUGUUUUAAAACUGCUAACCUCACUAUAUUACUCUAUUCUACUGUUCAAAUAAUUUUGCUUUGCUUUCUUAUCUCAUAUAUUAUUUGCUUCCAAAUUUACUUGUACAGUAUAUCUGCCAUUCCUACUCUAGAUUUCUGUUAAUUAAAAAUCAUACUCUUUCAUCAU